UGGGGUGACUCGAGCUACGUCAUACCUCUUUCAGCUGUCGGACGCCGUCGAGACAAGUCUCAACUAGUUUCGCUCCACGUACAUGUAAUCAUUAUCGAUGACGUGAAUGCAUUGAAAUUAGAAGACGUUCACCAUCGUUCCAUGGAAAUUAUACUAAUCAAUGGUGAGCUUUAGUUGCGAUUGCGGGCAAUGCAAUCAUAGAAUCAGUGUUCGUUUUGAAAAAUGUUGCAUUUUUUGUAUGCGAUCGUAUAGAUUGCAUACAAAACAGUAAUUAAAUCGUUAUAUUUAAAAUCAAUGCAAAUAAUCUUGUUGAGAAAACAAUUUGCUCGGUACGCGAUUAGAAUCAUUAACACACUUUCGGCCAAUUCGGUAGAAGAGGAUUUGCGUUUCGAUUAAAAUAUUGUCAUGGUCGAAAGUGUGAAUUAACAUCUUUAUUUCUUCUGGAACAUCUUUAUCGACGCAUCUGGCUUCGUCUAGAUAAAUCAACGAUUAUAAUCAUCGAUUCAACGAUUCAACGAUUAAACAAUACA
rnacentral:lncRNA from 1 species